AGAAAUUAAGCGAUUUAUUUCCAAAAAGACUUAAAAUAUCAUAAAGGGAUUAAAGUAUCUUUUUUUUCAGCUGAAUACUCUCAUAUGAUGUAAAGGAUAAUACACUACCAGAAAAUCAGAACUGAUGAAAGAAGAAAGAAAUGAAUAGGAGGAGGGUGAGGAAACAGUGGUUACUUUUGAUCUUAAUUUUUCUAAUCUCAUUUCACAAACAAUAGUACAUUAACUUGAAUCACAGUUAGCUUUUCAGCUCUGCAGACAUCAACUUAUUAAAUACAUAAGCCAAUUAAUGAUCUUAAUAGAGUUCAUGUAAUUGUUUUUUGUGCUUUUUUUUUGGUGCUGGGGAUCGAACUUGGGACCUUGCACUUGUGAGGCAGGCGGUGGAACCACUGAUUUGUGCUGUUUUAAGCUCUAAUCCAGCUGGCAGUACCCAUGUGACAAUGAAACACCAACAAUUCUGCUAGAGGGAAUUCUGGAAAGGCUUUGCUUUCUUCACAUAAGGCUGGCACCUUCAAACUUCCCUUCCGGCCUUGAAUAUGCAUGAGAGCAGCCAUCUUGCCACUGAAAAAAAGUAAAAUCCAGCACCCUAGAGGAAGGGAAAGGGCCUGUGUCUCUGAUAAAAUUGUUAAGCAGCUGAACCAAGGUCAUCACCUGCUUACUGCCAGACUUCAUGUUAUGUAAGAAAAAUUAACCCCUGUUAAAACACCCUUCUUUGGCCGUUCCGUAACUUGUGGGCAAAAGCCUUCCUUACCGGCAUGCCUCCCCACUUCCUUUCUGUAGGUGUAGAACUGUAGCAAUUACUCCUUUGCAACAGAAGGAAGAAAAGGAC
rnacentral:lncRNA from 1 species